rnacentral:rRNA from 1 species
AUACGGAGGAUCCGAGCGUUAUCCGGAUUUAUUGGGUUUAAAGGGUGCGUAGGCGGCCUUUUAAGUCAGCGGUGAAAGUUUGCAGCUUAACUGUAAAAAUGCCGUUGAAACUGUCGGACUUGAGUGUAAAUGAGGUAGGCGGAAUGCGUGGUGUAGCGGUGAAAUGCAUAGAUAUCACGCAGAACUCCGAUUGCGAAGGCAGCUUACUAAGCUACGACUGACACUGAAGCACGAAAGCGUGGGGAUCAAACAGGAUUAGAUACCCCGGUAGUCCACGCAGUAAACGAUGAUUACUAGCUGUUUGCGAUACACAGUAAGCGGCACAGCGAAAGCGUUAAGUAAUCCACCUGGGGAGUACGCCGGCAACGGUGAAACUCAAAGGAAUUGACGGG